rnacentral:rRNA from 1 species
GUCCACGCCGUAAACGAUGGAUACUAGCUGUUGGGAGCAAUCUCAGUGGCUAAGCGAAAGUGAUAAGUAUCCCACCUGGGGGAUACGUUCGCAAGAAUGAAACUCAAAGGAAUUGACGGGGGCCCGCACAAGCGGUGGAGCAUGUGGUUUAAUUCGAUGAUACGCGAGGAACCUUACCAAGGCUUAAAUGUAGAUUGACAGAUUUUGGAAACAGAUUUUUCUUCGGACAAUUUACAAGGGUGCUGCAUGGUUGUCGU